GUUACUGAGGAGGAAGAGGAAGACGAGUUCAGAGUUACUGAGGAGGAAGAGGAAGACGAGUUUAGAGUGACAGAGGAGGAGGUUACUGAGGAGGAAGAGGAAGUGGAUGCACCAUCGAGAGCAUCCUGUCGGGCUGUAUCACAGCUUGGUACGGCAACGGCACCGCCCACAACUGCCAGAGGGGGGCGCGGUCUGCCCAACGCAUCACCGGGGGCAAACUACCUGCCCUCCAGGACACCUACACCACCUGAUGUCACAGGAAGGCCAAAAAUAUCACCAAGGACAACAGCCACCCGAGACACUGUCUGUUCACCCCGCUAUCAUCCAGAAGGCGAGGAUGCAGUGUUUGGAGUGAAGGAGGAGGAGGGAGAGAGAACUGAGAGAACUCCGGUGCGCUCUGCAGUGCGUUCCUGUCCGCUUUGCCCUAAGGUUGUGGUCGGCUUCAGUCAGCACCUGAGGCACACGCACAAUGUGAGGAACACGGAGGAGAGGAUCCUCCUUUGUAAUUGGCAGUCGGGCCGUGUCAACAUCAGGCAGGAGCCGUGCCCAGUGACAGGAUGCUCCACCCAUGCCAGCCGGCUGGACCGGCACAUGGAGUCGCACACAGAGCUCGACAGAUCGCAGAGGAGACGGGCUUUAGAGGAACUCAGGAGACGGCUGACCAUGGAGCGGCUGGCCACGUUGAGGGCGUCCAACCCUGUCGUCCCGCUGGCCACCCAUUUGGAUAUUGUGGAGUGGGAAACAAAGCAGGAAGAGGAGGACGACUCUUUAGAUUCACUGCUGUCUCCUUUGGAAGAGGAGGAGGAGGACGUGAGCUGCGGAGAUUAUUCCUGCCACUGCCAAGCGCCCAUCCUGAGGCUACGGAAAGCUUUGCAAGAGCGGGAUGAGGCCCUGACCAAGAGAAGUGCGACCAUCCAAUCCGUUAGAGAGGACAACCUGAAGCUGACCUCGGAACUGAAUAGAGCGAGGAAGAGGUAUCAGCUACUGAAAAGUCAGAAGACGACGAGUGUCAGGGCGAGGUCAGCGAACGCAAGGUCGGGGAAGACGAGGUCAGCGAAGAGGUCCAGAUUUCAGACCGAGCCGUCUCGUCCUGCGUCAGACACAGAACAAGAGGAGCUACAGCAGGACCAAGUCGUAGGUUCAGGAGCCCAGAUAGAGGAGGCCACGGCGCCCAAAUCUAGCAGCCAAACUCCCUUCCCGGGCUCUGCUCUGAGUGUGUUUAUAGAGGGGUUCAGGAAGAUCUGUGAAGGCCCCAGUCCAAACAAUAAGCUGAAGCAAAAUUGUGCCGCGAAGCUCAAGAGGGUGCAGCAAUUUUUGAAGUUCAUGGCGAAGGAUGAGAAAUAUCCAUCCACUCUCAGUUUCCUGACAGACCAGGACAACAUGAGGAGAUGGUUUCAGACCCUUCAGCAGAACAAGGCCGUCGCCACGGUCAACCACUACACCUCGACUAUCGGUGCAUUUCUCCAAUACUCAGAGGAGACCCCUCCGCCUGGCUGCCGGCUGACCAAAAGCCACUGGAAGGAGAUCAACCGGGCAAUGAAGGAGAUCAACAAGUCCGUGAAAGGAGCCGUCUCCAACAAGGAAGGCAAGGGGGUGUCUACAAAGAGCCUGCUGGAGUGCCAGUCUCUUGCCAAGGACAAGAUCCCCCAAGUGCUGAAAACCUUGGAAGAAACUAUGACACAGAAGAACCAGAACCGGUUUUACGGAUUCCUGUGUGCCUAUUUCACCUCCAUGUACGGCCACAGCCCGGGCCUUUAUAGAAACAUGAUGGUGAAGGAGGUGGAGGAGGUCCAGCGUGGCCUGUCUGGGACCUGUCUGAUCAACGUGGGAAACGCAAAACAAAUGCAAACCAGGAUCCAGAUGUCGCUGACCAAGGAGGAGUACUCUUGGUUUUCAGACUUCCUGAAAUUUAAGCACUGUCUGCCAGGGGGAAAUAAAGCCCAGUACUUCUUUUUCAAUUCCACCAACACUGAGAUCAAGAACCUGCCCGUCUACCUGAGGGAGGCGUGGAAGGAGAUGGGCCUGCCUGGAAGGCCUUCCUUCACUGACCUGCGGACUUCCAUCUUCAGUCAUGUUAAAAACGUUCUCCCGAAUGCCGACGGGGAAACGUUGGCCGACUUCGUGCGCCACGACAGCCGGAUGGAAGCCAAACGUUACUCAAUGAAUCCUUCCAAAGCCGGUAAACCAGCGCCUUCCUUGAGACGGCGUUGAAGGGAGAAGAUACCGCACCACGGGCGCCGCAGAGAACCAGCCAUCCACCUCCAGAAAGCAGAAGACGAGAGAGGACGUCUCCGAGCGGAGCACCACCCCUGAAGAGACCGAGGUGCAGUACUAGGAGUCUGGCACGUCCCCCAGGGAGGAGGAGCAGGAACGGACGGCCAGACAAACUCUAGGAAAACAAGAUAUUCAGAGACAACGCAUUAGAUUACACUUGUACACCGUUUAACACUCAAGAACAAACAGAUACUCGGGCGUGGUGGUCUCCUCCAACUGAAGGGCAUGGUGGUCUCCUCCAACUGAAGGGCAUGGUGGUCUCCUCCAACUGAAUGUCGCCGCUCGCCUCCCACUGUGUCAGGUUAUGAAGCAGCUGAGGUCCAUUUAAAGCCCCAAACAGACUCCAGGAGAAAGAAGGACGAGGAAAGAGGGGGGUUGACCUCUGACAGUCAGGUGGAAGAGGGGG
ensembl:lncRNA